CUUAGAUAUCAUUAAAACAAUCUUCCUGACUAAUUUCCAAAAUAUUUGGAUGAUAACUGCCGCCUCUAGAGUGUUAACAAGCUUUUUCUCUUUUUAGCUCCUUUGACCUAGUUUUUGACCCGAGGUAACCCAUCUUCGAACUCGAUCUGUAUUUCAUUGAGACAAACAUUCUGACAAAGUUUGAUGAUGAUUCAAUCAAAACUGUGACUGCUAGACUGUUAACAACCCAAUUGUUGACGACGCACGACGACGGACUCCGGACACAGCCCCAUCACUAUACCUCACCUUGACCACUUCGUGGUCAGGUGAGCUUAAACUCUAGAUUUGGAAAUAAUAUUGCGCUUUCCGUUAAUGCUUUAAAUAUAAAUUUCUUUUUAUAUAAUUAUUUACUUGUUCUCUAUUUAUUAUAUUGAUUAAAACCCCGUUUAUAAAAUAACGCUGAUCAGGGGAAGUUUUUGAUGCGGAUACUUUGGUGUCAAUGAUUAUCGUUCUUGCAAAUGGUGGCGCUGUUUUGAAAUUUGAACAGAUACAGAAGUCGAUGAUUAAUUUUGAUUUCUAAGGUAUUACCGUAGUGUUUUACUUUAGUUUGCAGAUUCUUUUUCAAUAUGUAGUUACUUAUUCUUAAAAGUCUACUUUGAUUUACACUAUGAAAGAAAUGAGCGAUGUAAACACAUGAUUGAUUUGAUUUGACACGUUUUCGCGACCUAAUUGGUAGGCCUUACGCUUACGCAAAGUUAUUGAUGCCGAAGUUACAAUUCGUGAAUUUAUAGGUAGUAAUAAAUCUAUUUUACAUUCCAGAUCCUGAUCCUGGCUGGAAUUGAGAAUUUUGGAGCUGUAGCCUGUUUACCAUGCAUUCAACACGGAAAGAGCUGUCAGCUAGGAUGCUGCAUAAAAUGGUCUUAGCUGGAGCCUAAAAUAUUUAUUGGAAAAAUGCAGCUAAUGCUGCCCGUAACUGAUUGGGAGCAGAUUUGCUUACCAAUCAUAGAAACAGUAACAGACAGCCAAACAAGUAUUCAAAUGCCACCAUGAAACACGUAAUACAUACCCAGAAAGAUCUAGAUAAAGAAGUAGAUUUGAACAGAUUGUAGCUUAAUUGUUACAUCGUUUGAAUUUAAGAUGCGCUUGAACUGUAUUUUUGAAAUAAAAUAUCUUAAGUAUUUAAUAUUGUCUUGAUUUUUUUUUCAAACUCUGUUACUCUGCUUUAUAUCUUAGAAAUAAAAUAUGAUGGGUUUUUAACGUUGAAAUGACAUUGAAAUAUCAACGUUGUUUAAACUUUCAAAUCCGAAUAUAAAUCCAACGUUAUUUCAACGUUAAAAUCUGACCAUAAUUCAAUGUUGUUUCAACGUUGGUGUGCCUGCUGGGCUGUAUUUAUAGACAUUUCACUUCCAAAGACUUCUCUUUUAAUUUUAUUAACUGAAAGUAUUCCGCGAAAACACCAGUAAAAAUACGGAAACAAUUUUAAAUGCACUGAAAAUAGGAAGAUGGAAAUAUACAUUUUAUUUAAUCCAUAUUCUCAAUAUUUCGUUUAUAAGCAUAAAAUAAAACCCAAUAUCUCAUAAAAUAGUAUUCAAAUAAGAU